AAAAUCGGAGAUACUGGUGCGCUUUUCACAUGCGAGAACGACCACGGGGGGCCAACGGAUUCUAGCCUGUAAUUUCUUACGGCGGAGCCCAAAAUUCCACACCAGCGGACUGGUUUGGGAUAACAAAUGGAAACGUUUGCUAAUACCAAAUAACGUCGGAGAGUCACAUGACUUUCUGACGAAAGGAAUUCCGAUUCGAGAGGGUCUCGCGGCCUAUCAGCUUGUUGGCGGGGUAAUGGCCCACCAAGGCAACGACGGGUAGCUGGUCUGAGAGGAUGGUCAGCCACACUGGGACUGAGACACGGCCCAGACUCCUACGGGAGGCAGCAGUGGGGAAUCUUGCGCAAUGGGCGAAAGCCUGACGCAGCAACGCCGCGUGCGGGAAGAAGGCUUUCGGGCUGUAAACCGCUU
rnacentral:rRNA from 1 species